GAAUUCCCCUCCUCACGCCAGCCUAGGAGAAGAAGUUCGUAGUCCCAGAGGUGAGGCAGGAGGCGGCAGUUUCUGGCGGGUGAGGGCGGAGCUGAAGUGACAGCGGAGGCGGAAGCAACGGUCGGUGGGGCGGAGAAGGGGGCUGGCCCCAGGAGGAGGAGGAAACCCUUCCGAGAAAACAGCAACAAGCUGAGCUGCUGUGACAGAGGGGAACAAGAUGGCGGCGCCGAAGGGGAGCCUCUGGGUGAGGACCCAACUGGGGCUCCCGCCGCUGCUGCUGCUGACCAUGGCCUUGGCCGGAGGUUCGGGGACCGCUUCGGCUGAAGCAUUUGACUCGGUCUUGGGUGAUACGGCGUCUUGCCACCGGGCCUGUCAGUUGACCUACCCCUUGCACACCUACCCUAAGUGUCUGCCAGUUUGUACACAGUGGAUCACAUGAAGAGGAGUUGUACGCAUGUCAGAGAGGUUGCAGGCUGUUUUCAAUUUGUCAGUUUGUGGAUGAUGGAAUUGACUUAAAUCGAACUAAAUUGGAAUGUGAAUCUCAUGUACAGAAGCAUAUUCCCAAUCUGAUGAGCAAUAUGCUUGCCAUCUUGGUUGCCAGAAUCAGCUGCCAUUCGCUGAACUGAGACAAGAACACUUAUGUCCCUGAUGCCAAAAAUGCACCUACUCUUUCCUCUAACUCUGGUGAGGUCAUUCUGGAGUGACAUGAUGGACUCCGCACAGAGCUUCAUAACCUCUUCAUGGACUUUUUAUCUUCAAGCCGAUGACGGAAAAAUAGUUAUAUUCCAUCUAAGCCAGAAAUCCAGUACGCACCACAUUUGGAGCAGGAGCCUACAAAUUUGAGAGAAUCAUCUCUAAGCAAAAUGUCCCAGAUCUGCAAAUGAGAAAUUCACAAGCGCACAGGAAUUUUCUUGAAGAUGGAGAAAGUGAUGGCUUUUUAAGAUGCCUCUCUCUAACUCUGGGUGGAUUUUAACUACAACUCUUGUCCUCUCGGUGAUGGUAUUGCUUUGGAUUUGUUGUGCAACUGUUGCUACAGCUGUGGAGCAGUAUGUUCCCUCUGA
rnacentral:lncRNA from 1 species